AGUCAGUCAGUCAGUCAGUCAGUCUCAGAUUAGGCGAUGAAGUCCCUGGAAGACAUCAAAAUUUUGACACCACUGAGGGCUAGGAGACUUUUGCCUGAUGCCCUUUAAACCUAUUCCUAUUAUUAUAGGAUGAAGAGGGUUAUGUCUCCUGGGUGACUGCUACUGGAUAGACUAUUGAGGAACCAUUGUGAAGGCGAUCUUUUGAUCAGAUGAAGGUUUCAUAGAAUUUGUUUGCUCUUGUCUAGCUGGUUCCUUUUAAUUGCACACAUUAAUUGGAGUUCCUCCUAAUGAGCCCCAAUGACUUGGACAUUCAAAGAAUAGUCAGUAAUAAAAAAGCAGGCCAUCUUGAUGUCCCAAAGAUGUGGGGUUUAUAUCAUUUAUUGUUAAAAUAGGGCAGCUUGUAGCACCAAAGACGAUGCUAUAUUGGAGGCACAUGGGAUUUGAAAUAUCUAUAAGAUUGUUCUGGUCAUGGAAUUGGCCUGAGAAAUCUAGAGAGCCUUCAGACCCACUGAGAUCCUUUAUGAAGUUGAGGAUCUGAAACUAAGUUAUACUGGCAGUUCUAUAUUGUUCUGCCUCUUCCUUCAUGUCUGUUUGAAUGGGCCUAAACAUUCUAUCUGAGGAUAGAAAGGCAAUUUCUUUGAGCUUUCAUUGAAGUAAUACUUCCUGAUAUCCCACAGAGUCUCUUAGCAUCCUGCGAGGAGUCUAGAAUAAGUUCUGGAAAGUAUCUGAGUCGAGAUUAAGCCUUCUCAAGCGAGUCUCACUAAAGGUGUUUUCUUGGGUCAUCCUUUAUCUAAAUUCUUCUUUUUCUUUGAUUUCCAUUUUUUUCAAGUUUUUAGUCAAUAAGAGGAUAUAGGUUUUUUAUUUGGCUGGAAUUUAGAGUCCUUUGAUUAGCGUGUACCUUCAUCUUUGAGCCAUGACAUGAAAGCCAGUUGAGGACCCCUUAAUAUAAGCAAGAUGGUGCUAUGGUACUCACAUCUGGUGGUUAGCAGGUACCACAAUAUUAACAUUACGAAGAUAAGACUGUUAGGAGAAUUUGGUUCUCACUAUGGCCUAUACUAAUUUAACAAUGAAAAAAUGCAUUGUCUCUGUUAGUAAAAAAAUUGCAUGAUUCUAAACUGUAUAUUUUGAAAACAAAACAUUGCAUUUACAGUUUUAUUUCCUUGCUUAUAGCAUGGAUAAAAUGCAAUUUGUAUAUUAGGCAUUUCAGUUGCUCUGAAAAGCAGUCAUAAUGAAAUCUUUAAGGUCGCUUGUUUCAAAAACGGCAUUUAGAAUGAUGUCUACUUUAGUAAGGCUUUAUAUUUUACCCCUACCGGAAACUUAUGUCUCUCAAAUAAGAAAACGAACAUUUUCCCCCAGCAGAUUGAAAUGAGGAAAAUUGUAAGAGCUUAGAAUCUGGAAAAGAAAAUAAAGUGUCAACUAUAGAUGUGAGAGGUCCUCCCCUCCAUCUGGUUGUAGCAUUGGUGUAAAUAAGAAAUUGUUGAGCUGGAUAAUUUAAUUGAAAAGCAGAUGAUGCUGUCUUUCCUACUGACUAUGGCUCUAUUUCAAGUUCUCAUUAUCAUAGGCACAAAAUGUUUGAGGAAAGUAAAUAGGUCAACGAACC
rnacentral:lncRNA from 1 species